GGGUUGUGAGGUUAAGCGACUAAGCGUACACGGUGGAUGCCCUGGCAGUCAGAGGCGAUGAAGGGCGUGCUAAUCUGCGAUAAGCGCCGGUAAGGUGAUAUGAACCGUUAUAACCGGCGAUACCCGAAUGGGGAAACCCAGUGUGACUCGUCACACUAUCAUUAACUGAAUCCAUAGGUUAAUGAGGCGAACCGGGGGAACUGAAACAUCUAAGUACCCCGAGGAAAAGAAAUCAACCGAGAUUCCCCCAGUAGCGGCGAGCGAACGGGGAGGAGCCCAGAGCCUGAAUCAGCAUGUGUGUUAGUGGAAGCGUCUGGAAAGGCGCGCGAUACAGGGUGACAGCCCCGUACACAAAAGCGCAUGUGCUGUGAGCUCGAUGAGUAGGGCGGGACACGUGGUAUCCUGUCUGAAUAUGGGGGGACCAUCCUCCAAGGCUAAAUACUCCUGACUGACCGAUAGUGAACCAGUACCGUGAGGGAAAGGCGAAAAGAACCCCGGCGAGGGGAGUGAAAAAGAACCUGAAACCGUGUACGUACAAGCAGUGGGAGCACCCUUUGGGUGUGACUGCGUACCUUUUGUAUAAUGGGUCAGCGACUUAUAUUCUGUAGCAAGGUUAACCGAAUAGGGGAGCCGGAGGGAAACCGAGUCUUAACCGGGCGUUAAGUUGCAGGGUAUAGACCCGAAACCCGGUGAUCUAGCCAUGGGCAGGUUGAAGGUUGGGUAACACUAACUGGAGGACCGAACCGACUAAUGUUGAAAAAUUAGCGGAUGACCUGUGGCUGGGGGUGAAAGGCCAAUCAAACCGGGAGAUAGCUGGUUCUCCCCGAAAGCUAUUUAGGUAGCGCCUCGUGAAUUCAUCUCCGGGGGUAGAGCACUGUUUCGGCUAGGGGGCCAUCCCGGCUUACCAACCCGAUGCAAACUGCGAAUACCGGAGAAUGUUAUCACGGGAGACACACGGCGGGUGCUAACGUCCGUCGUGAAGAGGGAAACAACCCAGACCGCCAGCUAAGGUCCCAAAGUCAUGGUUAAGUGGGAAACGAUGUGGGAAGGCCCAGACAGCCAGGAUGUUGGCUUAGAAGCAGCCAUCAUUUAAAGAAAGCGUAAUAGCUCACUGGUCGAGUCGGCCUGCGCGGAAGAUGUAACGGGGCUAAACCAUGCACCGAAGCUGCGGCAGCGACACUGUGUGUUGUUGGGUAGGGGAGCGUUCUGUAAGCCUGCGAAGGUGGCCUGUGAGGGUUGCUGGAGGUAUCAGAAGUGCGAAUGCUGACAUAAGUAACGAUAAAGCGGGUGAAAAGCCCGCUCGCCGGAAGACCAAGGGUUCCUGUCCAACGUUAAUCGGGGCAGGGUGAGUCGACCCCUAAGGCGAGGCCGAAAGGCGUAGUCGAUGGGAAACGGGUUAAUAUUCCCGUACUUGGUGUUACUGCGAAGGGGGGACGGAGAAGGCUAUGUUGGCCGGGCGACGGUUGUCCCGGUUUAAGCGUGUAGGUGUGUGUUCCAGGUAAAUCCGGUUCACUUUAACACUGAGGCGUGACGACGAGGCACUACGGUGCUGAAGCAACAAAUGCCCUGCUUCCAGGAAAAGCCUCUAAGCAUCAGGUAACAUCAAAUCGUACCCCAAACCGACACAGGUGGUCAGGUAGAGAAUACCAAGGCGCUUGAGAGAACUCGGGUGAAGGAACUAGGCAAAAUGGUGCCGUAACUUCGGGAGAAGGCACGCUGACACGUAGGUGAAGUGAUUUACUCAUGGAGCUGAAGUCAGUCGAAGAUACCAGCUGGCUGCAACUGUUUAUUAAAAACACAGCACUGUGCAAACACGAAAGUGGACGUAUACGGUGUGACGCCUGCCCGGUGCCGGAAGGUUAAUUGAUGGGGUCAGCGCAAGCGAAGCUCCUGAUCGAAGCCCCGGUAAACGGCGGCCGUAACUAUAACGGUCCUAAGGUAGCGAAAUUCCUUGUCGGGUAAGUUCCGACCUGCACGAAUGGCGUAAUGAUGGCCAGGCUGUCUCCACCCGAGACUCAGUGAAAUUGAACUCGCUGUGAAGAUGCAGUGUACCCGCGGCAAGACGGAAAGACCCCGUGAACCUUUACUAUAGCUUGACACUGAACAUUGAGCCUUGAUGUGUAGGAUAGGUGGGAGGCUUUGAAGUGUGGACGCCAGUCUGCAUGGAGCCGACCUUGAAAUACCACCCUUUAAUGUUUGAUGUUCUAACGUGGACCCGUUACCCGGGUUGCGGACAGUGUCUGGUGGGUAGUUUGACUGGGGCGGUCUCCUCCUAAAGAGUAACGGAGGAGCACGAAGGUUGGCUAAUCCUGGUCGGACAUCAGGAGGUUAGUGCAAUGGCAUAAGCCAGCUUGACUGCGAGCGUGACGGCGCGAGCAGGUGCGAAAGCAGGUCAUAGUGAUCCGGUGGUUCUGAAUGGAAGGGCCAUCGCUCAACGGAUAAAAGGUACUCCGGGGAUAACAGGCUGAUACCGCCCAAGAGUUCAUAUCGACGGCGGUGUUUGGCACCUCGAUGUCGGCUCAUCACAUCCUGGGGCUGAAGUAGGUCCCAAGGGUAUGGCUGUUCGCCAUUUAAAGUGGUACGCGAGCUGGGUUUAGAACGUCGUGAGACAGUUCGGUCCCUAUCUGCCGUGGGCGCUGGAGAACUGAGGGGGGCUGCUCCUAGUACGAGAGGACCGGAGUGGACGCAUCACUGGUGUUCGGGUUGUCAUGCCAAUGGCACUGCCCGGUAGCUAAAUGCGGAAGAGAUAAGUGCUGAAAGCAUCUAAGCACGAAACUUGCCCCGAGAUGAGUUCUCCCUGAGACUUAAAGUCUCCUGAAGGAACGUUGAAG
rnacentral:rRNA from 1 species